UACGUAGGGGGCAAGCGUUGUCCGGAAUCAUUGGGCGUAAAGCGCGUGUAGGCGGGUCGGUAAGUCCGCUCUGAAAGCCCGGGGCUCAACCCCGGGAGGCGGGUGGAUACUGUCGACCUCGAGUCCGGAAGAGGCGAGUGGAAUUCCUGGUGUAGCGGUGAAAUGCGCAGAUAUCAGGAGGAACACCAAUGGCGAAGGCAGCUCGCUGGGACGGUACUGACACUGAGGAGCGAAAGCGUGGGUAGCAAACAGG
rnacentral:rRNA from 1 species